AAUGAACGCUGGCGGCAGGCCUAACACAUGCAAGUCGAACGAGUGGCGGACGGGUGAGUAAUGUCUGGGAAACUGCCCGAUGGAGGGGGAUAACUACUGGAAACGGUAGCUAAUACCGCAUACCAUCGGAUGUGCCCAGAUGGGAUUAGCUAGAAGGUGGGGUAACGGCUCACCUAGGCGACGAUCCCUAGCUGUGCUGAGAGGAUGACCGGCCAAACUGGCACGUAGACAAGUUCCAGACUCCUACGGGAGGCAGCAGUGGGGAAUAUUGCACAAUGGGCGCAAGCAUGAUGCAGCCAUGCCGCGUGUAUGAAGAAGGCCUUCGGGUUGUAAAGUACUUUCAGCUAGGAGGCGUUACUCGCAGAAGAAGCACCGGCUAACUCCGUGCCAGCAGCCGCGGUCAUUC
rnacentral:rRNA from 1 species